GGAAAUGACCUGUUCUUGAGGCAGCUCCUGACCUGACGAAGCCUGGGCCCUGAGCAUACACAGGGGGUGCGUUGCUUCACUCACCCACAGCCUCCAUGUGACCCCCCCCCAAGCCAUGAGGUGCGUGGGUGUCCCCCUGGUGGUCUCCUGGGCUCACUGGAGGGCUGAGUCUGGUCUCAUCUCGGCUCCUUCCCUGCAAGAACCAUCACAGAGUUAGUGUGUGUGUGUGUGUGUGUGUGUGUCAACUCUAACUGGCAAUAUCUCAGAAUCCACAACAGUUAGGAACACAAGAUUCUAACACAAGAUGCUCCUAACACUCACCUACAACACCUAUAACUGGCAGUGCUCACAACCUUAUAGUUCAGGAGAAAUUUGUACUUAACUAAAAACUUUCCAAAAAUACACAGACCUUGAUAAAAGUGGAGAUAACAGGGAAACCAAGAGGAGGAGGAGGAAGGGGAAGACAGGAGGAGGAAGAGGGAAGAUUAAGCUAUUUUUUGGUAUAGGAGGAAAGGAGGAAGAGGUGGAGGAAAGUGGAGGAAAGUGGAGUCAAACUUGGAGGAGGAAAUGAACGAAACCACCAAAAUUAUGCUGGAGAAAUACACAGACCUUGAUAAAAGUGGAGAUAACAGGGAAACCAAGAGGAGGAGGAGGAAGAGGAAGACAGGAGGAGGAAGAGGAAAGAUUAAGCUAUUUUUUGGUAUAGGAGGAAAGGAGGGAGAGGUGGAGGAAAGUGGAGAAAAAUGGACUUGAACUUGGAGGAGGAAAUGGAUGAAACCACCAAAAUUAUGCCGGAAAAAUACACAGACCUUGAUAAAAGUGGAGAUAAGAGAGAAACCAAGAGGAGGAGGAGGAAGCGGAAGACAGGAGGAGGAAGAGGAAAGAUUAAGCUAUUUUUUGGUAUAGGAGGAAAGGAGGAAGAGGUGGAGGAAAGUGGAGAAAAAUGGACUUGAACUUGGAGGAGGAAAUGGAUGAAACCACCAAAAUUAUGCCGGAAAAAUACACAGACCUUGAUAAAAGUGGAGAUAAGAGAGAAACCAAGAGGAGGAGGAGGAAGAGGAAGACAGGAGGAGGAAGAGGAAAGAUUAAGCUAUUUUUUGGUAUAGGAGGAAAGGAGGAAGAGGUGGAGGAAAGUGGAGGAAAAUGGAGUCAAACUUGGAGGAGGAAAUGAACAAAACCACCAAAACUAUGCCGGAGAAAUACACAGACCUUGAUAAAAGUGGAGAUAAGAGAGAAACCAAGAGGAGGAGGAGGAAGAGGAAGACAGGAGGAGGAAGAGGAAAGAUUAAGCUAUUUUUUGGUAUAGGAGGAAAGGAGGAAGAGGUGGAGGAAAGUGGAGAAAAAUGGACUUGAACUUGGAGGUCAGGUCAGCUUGAUAAAGAGAUAGAAAUUUUGGCCAAGGAGUUCCAGAAGUUGAUGCAGGAUUCAGUUCCAGAAGUUGAUGCAGGAUUCAGUUCCAGAAGUUGAUGCAGGAUUCCGUUCCAGAAGUUGAUGCAGGAUUCAGUUCCAGAAGUUGAUGCAGGAUUCCGUUCCAGAAGUUGAUGCAGGAUUCCGUUCCAGAAGUUGAUGCAGGAUUCCGUUCCAGAAGUUGAUGCAGGAUUCCGAAGCGCCCGCCGAGGAUGUCAAUUCCCGUUUCCUAAGGAGCGGGUCAACUCCUCCUCCUCCUCCUCCUCCUCCUCCUCCUCCUCCUCCUCCUUCUCUCCCGCAUGAUAACAAACGUAACAUCUUGACUAACCAACCUUCUGCCGACUACGCCAUCACUCAGAGCUCUUGCAGGCAAUGACCAGGAUUGCAGCGCGAGAGACUUAUCCUGCAAUGCCCGGAUGUCACGAACAACUCUUUGUGUCAGAACCGGGUGGUAAAAUCUCCUU